rnacentral:misc_RNA from 1 species
UUGUUUUGUUUUGAUUGUUUACAUUCUAUACAUUCAAGUUUGGGCCGGAGCCACAGUUCACAGUGUGUAAAGGUACAUUAUUCAAAAAUGAUCCUUCCGCAGGUUCACCUACGGAAA